rnacentral:rRNA from 1 species
AGAUUGAACGCUGGCGGCAUGCUUUAUACAUGCAAGUCGAACGGUAACGCGGGGGCAACCCUGGCGACGAGUGGCGAACGGGUGAGUAAUACAUCGGAACGUGCCCAAUAGUGGGGGAUAGCCCGGCGAAAGCCGGAUUAAUACCGCAUACGUCCUACGGGAGAAAGCGGGGGAUCGCAAGACCUCGCGCUGAUGGAGCGGCCGAUGGCAGAUUAGCUUGUUGGUGGGGUAAAGGCUUACCAAGGCGACGAUCUGUAGCUGGUCUGAGAGGACGACCAGCCACACUGGGACUGAGACACGGCCCAGACUCCUACGGGAGGCAGCAGUAGGGAAUUUUGGACAAUGGGCGAAAGCCUGAUCCAGCAAUGCCGCGUGAGCGAUGAAGGCCUUCGGGUUGUAAAGCUCUUUUGGUAGGAACGAAACGGUCCGUGAUAAUACCAUGGAUCAAUGACGGUACCUGCAGAAUAAGCACCGGCUAACUACGUGCCAGCAGCCG